GCGCGCCCCUCCGGCGCUUGUCGCAGAGGCUGCCGGGAGACGUAGUCUUGUAACGCUCUCUCGCCGGACAUUCCUAAUGGUUAGCGCCCAGCCUGUGAAGAGUCGGGGGUCGGGGAGGGGGUCUCGCUAAGAAGGAGGUUUGCAGACCAUGGCAAAGACUGUCUUUCCAGACUGGAGCUAGAGAUUCGCUGGCCUUGAAGAAGCAAGCUGUCAUGUUGCGAACUGCCUAUGGAGAAAACUAAAUGGCAGGGAACUGCAGACGGCUUCUAGAACUUGAGCGCAGCCUGCAGCUGACAACCAGUAAGAAGCCAGGGCCCUCAGUCACACAACCACAAGGAAAUGAAUUCUGCCAACAACCUGAGAGGUGGCCUCCAGAUGAGAAGACAGCCUGACUUAAACCUUGAUAGCAGUUUUGUGAGACCCUGAGCAAAGAAAACAGAUAAACUGUGCGUAGACUCCUGGUCUACAGAAACUGUGAGAUAAUAAAUGUGUCUUAAGAUACU
rnacentral:lncRNA from 1 species